UACGAAGGGGGCUAGCGUUGUUCGGAAUUACUGGGCGUAAAGCGCGCGCAGGCGGUCUUUCAAGUCAGUGGUGAAAGCCCGGAGCUCAACUCCGGAAAUGCCAUUGAAACUGUAAGACUUGAGGAUGAGAGAGGUGAGUGGAAUUCCCAGUGUAGAGGUGAAAUUCGUAGAUAUUGGGAAGAACACCGGUGGCGAAGGCGGCUCACUGGCUCGUAACUGACGCUCAUGCACGACAGCGUGGGGAUCAAACAGG
rnacentral:rRNA from 1 species